UACGGGAGGCAGCAGUGAGGAAUAUUGCACAAUGGGCGCAAGCCUGAUGCAGCCAUGCCGCGUGUAUGAAGAAGGCCUUCGGGUUGUAAAGUACUUUCAGUCGUGAGGAAGGUGUUAAGGUUAAUAACCUUAGCAAUUGACGUUAGCGACAGAAGAAGCACCGGCUAACUCCGUGCCAGCAGCCGCGGUAAUACGGAGGGUGCGAGCGUUAAUCGGAAUUACUGGGCGUAAAGGGCACGCAGGCGGUUAAUUAAGUUGGAUGUGAAAUCCCCGGGCUUAACCUGGGAAUGGCAUUCAAGACUGGUUAGCUAGAGUCUUGUAGAGGGGGUAGAAUUCCGAUGUGUAGCGGUGAAAUGCGUAGAGAUGUGGAGGAAUACCGGUGGCGAAGGCGGCCCCUGGGACAAAGACUGACGCUCAUGUGCGAAAGCGUGGGGAGCAAACAGGGAUUAGAUACC
rnacentral:rRNA from 1 species